GACGAACGCUGGCGGCGCGCCUAACACAUGCAAGUCGAACGAGCGAGCGAGAGCUUGCUUUCUCGAGCGAGUGGCGAACGGGUGAGUAACGCGUGAGGAACCUGCCUCAAAGAGGGGGACAACAGUUGGAAACGACUGCUAAUACCGCAUAAGCCCACGACCCGGCAUCGGGUAGAGGGAAAAGGAGCAAUCCGCUUUGAGAUGGCCUCGCGUCCGAUUAGCUAGUUGGUGAGGUAACGGCCCACCAAGGCGACGAUCGGUAGCCGGACUGAGAGGUUGAACGGCCACAUUGGGACUGAGACACGGCCCAGACUCCUACGGGAGGCAGCAGUGGGGAAUAUUGCACAAUGGGGGAAACCCUGAUGCAGCGACGCCGCGUGGAGGAAGAAGGUCCUCGGAUUGUAAACUCCUGUUGUUGAGGAAGAUAAUGACGGUACUCAACAAGGAAGUGACGGCUAACUACGUG
rnacentral:rRNA from 1 species